CUCUACAAAAUUUUUUAAAUAGCUGGGCAUGCUGGUGCAUAUCUGUAGUCCCAGCUACUCAGGAGGCUGGGGAUGGAGGAUCACUUGAGCCCAAGCGUUCCAGGUUACGGUGAGGUAUAGUUACAUCAUUGCACUCCAGCCUGGGUAAAAGAGUGAGACUUUGUCUCAAUAAACAAAAAUGUUUCAAUUAUUAAGCUAUUGUAGGAACUAUUCUAAAUACUUUACAUAGAUUCUCAUUUAGGCUUCAAGAUGGUGUCCUAUGAGAUGGCUACUAUUGCAAUCUUUAUGAAUGAGGAAGCUGAGGCACAGAAAGGCUAAGCAAUAGUUAAACUGCUCUACAUUUGGCCUGUGCCAGUGGCCAUGUGACAGUGGUCACUCUCCUGGUUAACAGAAAAUGCCAGAUUGAUAUCUGCGACAAAGAAAACGGAACACCUUUGAUACAGGCAGUCCGUUGCCAGGAAGAGGCGUGUGCCGUUUUUCUGCUGGAACAUGGCGCCAAUCCAGACCUUAAGGAUAUCUAAGGCAACACUGCUUUCCAUUAUGCUGUGUGUAGUGAGAGCACCUCACUGGCAGAAAAACUGCUUUCACAUGGUGCAAAUAUUGAAGCACCAGACAAGCAUUUUCCGUGAUCUGUGUGUGGAUUUAUUGCCUGCAUCGGAUGAUGAAGACUUGAGUGUUGCUACUAAGCAGUGUGUCCCCGAGAAAGUGUCAGAGCCUUUACCUGGACUUUCCCAUGAAAAAGGAAACAGAAUAGUCAGUGGAAAAGGAAAAGGGCUUCCUGCAAAACAUCCUUCCUUGAAGCCUAGCACUGAAAUGGAAGAUCCUGCUGUGAAAGGAGCAAUACAAAGAGAAUGUUCAGACAUUGAGAGCAGAAGAAGACUUACUAGUGGCUUCAGAGGAAGAGCGAGAAAGGCUUGAAAGAAGUGAAAAGAAGCAACCACAGUUGCACUUUAAAACAAGAAAAUGAAGAAAAAACGAAUGUUAAUAUGCUGUACCAAAAAAAAAAAUAGAGAAGAAUUAGAAAGGAAAGAGAAUGUAAGAAAGAAGUUGAAGCAAACAACUUGAACCCACUGUUCAGUCACUAGAGAUGAAACCGAAGACUGUAAGAAAUACUCCAAAUCAGGAUUUUCAUAAUCAUGAAGAAAUGAAAGAUCUAAUGGAUGAAAAUUGCAUUUUGAAGACAGAUGUUGCUAUACUCAGACGGGAAAUAUGCACAAUGAAAAAUGACAACCUGGAAAAAGAAAAUAAAUGUCUUACGGACAUUAAAAUUGUUAAAGAAAUAAACGCUUACCUUGAAAAGAGUAUAAAACUCAAUGAGGAAACAAUCACAAAAACAGCAUUCCAGUAUUGAUACAAGAGCUUCAUGAUCUCAAGGCUGAGAAUACAGGGCUCAAUUCCAGACUGUUGAGGGAAAAAGAAAGCAAGGCAAGACUGGAAGCUGAAAUUGAAUCGUAUCAGUCUAGACUGGCUGCUGCUGUAAGUAAACACGGUGAAAGUGUGAAAACAGCAAGAAACCUAAGACUUGCUUUAGAGAGAACACAAGACGUUUCUCUACAAGUAAAAAUGACUUCUGAUAUUUCUGAAGUAGAAGAUAAGAAUGAGUUUCUUACUGAACAACUUUCUAAAAUGCAAAUUAAAUUAAUUACCUUAAAAGAUAAGUUCUGUAAGACAAGAGAUACUCUCAGAAAAACGUCAUUGGCUUUAGAAACUGUACAAAACGACCUAAGCCAAACACAGCAGCACGUAAAGGAAAUGAAAGAGAUGUAUCGAAAUGCAGAAGCUGAAGUGAGUAAAUCCACUGGAAAGUGAAACUGUGUAGAAGAGAGGAUACGUCAACUCCAACGUGAAAAUCUGAGGCUUGAACAGCAACUAGAUGAUGUUCAUCAGAAAGAGGAUCAUCAAGAGAUAGUAAUUAAUAUCGAAAGAGGCUCUAUUGAGAGUGGAAAGAAAGACCUCCUGCUAGAAGAGAAAAAUAAGAAGCGAAUGAAAGAAUAUAAUCAUUUAAAAGAAAGUGUCUUUCAGUAUGAGAAAGAGAAAACAAAGAGUAGUAAGUGUCAAGGAAGAUAAAUACUUUCAAAGAAAUAUUCUAGAAAUACUUCUAGAAAGAUAAUUUAAACAUUUGGUUCUGGAUACAUGUCGAACCCAGUUGAAUAUAAAAAUCAAUAGAUAAAGUGUGUUUACCAUACUGUAUAAUUCCAUUUACAUGAAACAUCUAGAAAAGAUAAAUGUAUAGGGACAAAAAGUAGAUUAAUGUUUACAAAGGGUGGGGCUGGAAGCUGGUAGUGACUGCUAAUGGGUAUGAGGGAUUGUGCAGUGAUGGAAAUGCUCUAAAGUUGGGUUGUAGAGAUGGCUGCACAACUCAGUAAAUUUACUAAAAAUCUUUUAACUUUAUGUUAAAACAAAUACUAUAGUGUGUAAAUUAUAUUUCAAUAAAGCUUUUUAAUUAAAAAAAGGAAAAAUGUGUUUAUUAUAUCAGCUUGGAAACAUACCUUGCUUCCAGGAAAUAAAAGGUGGAGCUGAGAGAUGAUUUACUUUGAGAAAAGACAUUGUGUCACCUAUGAAAUUUUCUUAGGCACAGAGUCAUAUUUUAAGGUAGAUAGUCCUGUGCUGCUGAAGCAAUCAUUUUAAUGUCUUUAUGUUGCCACAUGUUAAGACCAUGAUGAAGGUAUAAAUGGAAAUGUUUACAUCUGAAAUGAGUAUUUUCAAAGUAAAAUUUAAGUAAGUGA